rnacentral:rRNA from 1 species
AGAGUUUGAUCCUGGCUCAGGAUGAACGCUGGCGGCGUGCCUAAUACAUGCAAGUCGAACGAAGCGCUUGAAUGGAAUUCUUCGGAAGGAAGCUCAAGUGACUGAGUGGCGGACGGGUGAGUAACGCGUGGGUAACCUGCCUCAUACAGGGGGAUAACAGUUAGAAAUGACUGCUAAUACCGCAUAAGCACACGUGAUCGCAUGAUCGAGUGUGAAAAACUCCGGUGGUAUGAGAUGGACCCGCGUCUGAUUAGCUAGUUGGUGGGGUAAUGGCCCACCAAGGCGACGAUCAGUAGCCGGCCUGAGAGGGUGAACGGCCACAUUGGGACUGAGACACGGCCCAAACUCCUACGGGAGGCAGCAGUGGGGAAUAUUGCACAAUGGGGGAAACCCUGAUGCAGCGACGCCGCGUGAAGGAUGAAGUAUUUCGGUAUGUAAACUUCUAUCAGCAGGGAAGAAAAUGACGGUACCUGACUAAGAAGCCCCGGCUAACUACGUGCCAGCAGCCGCGGUAAUACGUAGGGGGCAAGCGUUAUCCGGAUUUACUGGGUGUAAAGGGAGCGUAGACGGCAGUGCAAGUCUGAAGUGAAAGCCCGGGGCUCAACCCCGGGACUGCUUUGGAAACUGUGCAGCUAGAGUGUCGGAGAGGCAAGCGGAAUUCCUAGUGUAGCGGUGAAAUGCGUAGAUAUUAGGAGGAACACCAGUGGCGAAGGCGGCUUACUGGACGAUAACUGACGCUGAGGCUCGAAAGCGUGGGGAGCAAACAAAAAGAGAUACCCUGGUAGUCCACGCCGUAAACG